rnacentral:rRNA from 1 species
GCUAAUACCGAAUGUGGCCCCCGAUCGGAUGAUCGGUGGCUAAAGGUGGCCUCUUCUAUGCUGCCGGGUUGGGAUCGGCCCGCGUCCCAUUAGCUAGUUGGUGAGGUAACGGCCCACCAAGGCAACGAUGGGUAGCCGGCCUGAGAGGGUGUCCGGCCACACUGGCACUGAGACAAGGGCCAGUCCCCUAUGGGAGGCGCAGGCGGGAAUAGUUCCCAAUGGACGAAAGUCUGAGGACGCGACGCAGCGUGAGCGAAGAAGGCCUUCGGGUUUGUAAAGCUCUGUCAGGAGGGAAGAAGGCGCUGGGUGUUAAUAGACCCAAGCGUUGACGGUACUUCCAGAGGAAGCCCCGGCUAAAUACCGGGCCAGCAGCCGCGGAAAUACGUAUGGGGCAAGCGUUGUCCGGGAUUAACUGGGCGUCACAGGGCACGCAGGCAGUUCGUAUAGUCGAAGGUGAAAUCCUUGGGUCAACUCAGGAACUGCCCUUUCGAUCUGGCCGAACUAGAGUGGCGUAGCGCGAAACCGGAACUCCUGUGUAACGGUGGAUGUCUAGAUAUCAAGGAGGAACACCGGUGCCGAAAGGCCGCUUUCUGGACGCAACACUGACGGCUCAGGUGCGAAAAGCGUGGUUAGCAAACAGGAUUAGAUACCCUGGUAGUCCACCGCCGUAAACGAUGGGUACUAGGUGUCGGGGGUAUCGAUCCCCUCGGUGCCGAAGUCAACGCAUUAAGUACCCCCGCCUGGGGAGUAUGGUCGCAAGGCUGAUACUCAAAGGAAUUGACGGGUCCCCGCACAAGCGGUGGAGCAUGUGGUUUAAUUCGACGCAACGCGAAGAACCUUACCUGGGCUUGACAUGCUUGGGACAGCGCUGGAAACAGCGUCUCUCCUUCGGGAGUCCUUGCACAGGUGCUGCAUGGCUGUCGUCGGCUCGUGUCGUGAGAUGUCGGGUUAAGUCCCUCAACGAGCGCAACCCUCGUUACUAGUUGCCAUCAGUUCGGCUGGGCACUCUAGUGAGACUGCCGCUGACAAACCGGAGGAAGGUGAGGAUGAUGUCAAGUCAUCAUGGCCCUUACGCCCAGGGCUACACACGUGCUACAAUGGUCGGCACAAAGGGCAGCCAAACCGCGAGGUGGAGCUAAUCCCAUAAAGCCGGCCCCAGUACGGAUUGGAGUCUGCAACUCGACUCCAUGAAGGCGGAAUCGCUAGUAAUCGCGGAUCA